UACGGAAGGCAGCAGGGGGAAUAUUGCACAAUGGGCGCAAGCCUGAUGCAGCCAUGCCGCGUGUAUGAAGAAGGCCUUCGGGUUGUAAAGUACUUUCAGUCGUGAGGAAGGUGUUAAGGUUAAUAACCUUAGCAAUUGACGUUAGCGACAGAAGAAGCACCGGCUAACUCCGUGCCAGCAGCCGCGGUAAUACGGAGGGUGCGAGCGUUAAUCGGAAUUACUGGGCGUAAAGGGCACGCAGGCGGUUAAUUAAGUUGGAUGUGAAAUCCCCGGGCUUAACCUGGGAAUGGCAUUCAAGACUGGUUAGCUAGAGUCUUGUAGAGGGGGUAGAAUUCCAUGUGUAGCGGUGAAAUGCGUAGAGAUGUGGAGGAAUACCGGUGGCGAAGGCGGCCCCUGGACAAAGACUGACGCUCAUGUGCGAAAGCGUGGGGAGCGAAACAGGGAUUAGAUACCC
rnacentral:rRNA from 1 species